rnacentral:rRNA from 1 species
UGGGGAAUAUUGCACAAUGGGCGCAAGCCUGAUGCAGCCAUGCCGCGUGUAUGAAGAAGGCCUUCGGGUUGUAAAGUACUUUCAGUCGGGAGGAAGGUGUCAAGGUUAAUAACCUUGGCAAUUGACGUUACCGACAGAAGAAGCACCGGCUAACUCCGUGCCAGCAGCCGCGGUAAUACGGAGGGUGCAAGCGUUAAUCGGAAUUACUGGGCGUAAAGCGCACGCAGGCGGUUGAUUGAGUCAGAUGUGAAAUCCCCGGGCUUAACCCGGGAAUUGCAUCUGAUACUGGUCAGCUAGAGUCUUGUAGAGGGGGGUAGAAUUCCAUGUGUAGCGGUGAAUUGCGUAGAGAUGUGGAGGAAUACCGGUGGCGAAGGCGGCCCCCUGGAUAAAGACUGACGCUCAGGUGCGAAAGCGUGGGGAGCAAACAGG